rnacentral:rRNA from 1 species
UCAAGCUACAAAGGGCGCAAGGAGAAUGCCUUGGCACUGGGAGCCGAUGAAAGACGUGGUAAGCUGCGAUAAGCUUCGGGGAGGAGCAAACAUCCUUUGAUCCGGAGAUUUCUGAAUGAGGAAACUCACCAGAGUUCAUACUCUGGUAUCCUGUACUGAAUCCAUAGGUACAGGAGGGGAACCGCCUGAACUGAAACAUCUAAGUAGGGCGAGGAAGAGACAUCAAACGAGAUUCCGUUAGUAGUGGCGAGCGAACGCGGAAGAGGGCAAACCGGAAGGAGAAAUCCUUCCGGGGUAUGGACCGCAUUUAGGACUUUAGCUGUUAAUCGAAUGGCAUGGGAAGGCCAACCAAAGAGUGUGAGAGUCACGUAGAUGAAAACGGCGAGAGCUGCGCGAGUUCCAGAGUACGGCCAGACACGUGAAACCUGGUCGGAAGAUGGGGGGACCACCCUCCAACCCUAAAUACUACCCAGUGACCGAUAGCGUAUAGUACUGUGAAGGAAAGGUGAAAAGGACCCCGGGAGGGGAGUGAAAUAGAACCUGAAACCUUGUGCCUACAAGCACAUAGAGCACAUCAACGUGUGAUAUGGUACUUUUUGUAGAACGGUCCGGCGAGCGAUUGUAUGUUGCGAGCUUAAGGUCUUAAGGACUGGAGGCGUAGCGAGAGCGAGUCUGAACAGGGCGUUCAGUAACAUGCAAUGGGCCCGAAACCGGGUGACCUACCCAUGAUCAGGCUGAAGUGAAAGUAAAAUUUCAUGGAGGGCCGAACCGACCUCCGUUGAAAAGGCGGCGGAUGAAUUGUGGGUAGCGGAGAAAUUCCAAUCGAACUCGGAGAUAGCUGGUUCUCCCCGAAAUAGCUUUAGGGCUAGCCUCAUAUUAGAUACCCGGAGGUAAAGCACUGAAUGGCCUAGCGCCCGAGAGGGUAGCGAAGCCUAUCAAACUAAGAAUGCCGGAGUAUUGAUGUAUGGGAGUCAGACAGUGUGAGAUAAAUCUCAUUGUCAAAAGGGAAACAGCCCAGAUCUACAGCUAAGGUCCCAAAUUGUAUCUAAGUGGAAAACGAUGUGGAAAUACGCAGACAACCAGGAUGUUGGCUCAGAAGCAGCCACUCAUUUAAAGAGUGCGUAAUAGCUCACUAGUCGAGAGUCUCUGCGCCGACAAUGUAACGGGGCUAAGUUAUAAACCGAAGCUGUGGAAUCCAUUUGGAUUGGUAGGAGAGCGUUCUGUAGGCCGUUGAAGAAGAAGGGUAACCAACUUUGGAGGUAUCAGAAGUGAGAAUGCAGGAAUAAGUAGCGAGAAAGGGGGCGAGAAUCCCCCUCGCCGGAAGACCAAGGUUUUCAGGGUAAAGCUUGUCUUCCCUGAGUAAGCCGGGACCUAAGCCCAGGCUAUAAUGCGUAGGCGAAUGGAAAACAGAUUAAUAUUUCUGUGCCAGUCAUUUAUUGUGAUGGAGGGACGCAGAAGGGUAUGCACGCGGACGAUCGGUUGUGUCCGUAGAAGUAUGUAGGAUGAUUUAGUAGGUAAAUCCAUUAAGUUAUAUCUGAGGUAUUAUAUACAGUCGUAAGAUGAAUGUGCAAAUCCCACGCUGCCAAGAAAAGCUUCUAGCGUUAAUAUUUGACUGCCCGUACUGUAAACCGACACAGGUGGUCAGGAUGAGAAAUCUAAGGCGGACAGGCUAACUCUCGUUAAGGAACUCUGCAAAAUAACCUCGUAACUUCGGGAGAAGAGGAGCCCUUGUGUGUGAGUAUACAUGCGAUACAAAGCGCACGAGGGUCGCAGUGAAGAGGCUCAAGCAACUGUUUAACAAAAACACAGGUCUAUGCUAAGCUGUAAGGCGAUGUGUAUAUGGGCUGACACCUGCCCAGUGCUGGAAGGUUAAGAGGAGGAGUGAGAGCUCCGAAUUGAAGCCCCAGUGAACGGCGGCCGUAACUAUAACGGUCCUAAGGUAGCGAAAUUCCUUGUCGGGUAAGUUCCGACCUGCACGAAUGGUGUAAUGA